ensembl:processed_transcript Gm15201 predicted gene 15201
CCAGUUGAUGGAUUGCAGCUGCCAUAGGAGGGCUAUGACUUGGCAUUUUCUCCUGGACAGGGACAAUGUACUGCGCACAGUACACACGUGCUGCACGGAGAAGACGGCUUCGUGUCUGGUUGAACCCAGCUGUCGGACUGAGCACACCCUGCUUGGGGGGUGGCUGGAGGCCUGGAAAGGUCUGGAAGCUGCACCUGGCCAAUGGUCCAGUCCUCAGGGGGUGGCUGCUUUUCAGCUAAGUUUGCGUGUGUAUUGAUACUGCAUUCAGGAAAAGAAAACAGCCUUUACUAAAGAGCUGGCAUCUCCCACCCUCACCAACACCAGAGGAUCAUUGGGCAAAGCUGUCACCUUUGGCAGAGUGGCAAGAGCCCCACCAACCACCCUAACUUUCCACUCCCAGCUUGCUGUGGAGCCGUUUCUCCGCAACGACAGCUUUCAGGCGCCAACUGUGCCUGUGGAAGCCCCGCCCAGCGCCAUUGGCCUCCAUGUUUUAUUGCGCAAGCAUGAGAACAGCCUUGCACAAAGAGUCAGGAAGUGGGAUAUAAAUUUUGGGUUCAGAUAUCUGGAGAACUGAGCUUAAAUACCAGCUGUGAGAGGAAAUGAUGGGACCGGCCAGGUGGCGGGCACCCCAGAAUCAGGCGUCUCCUUUAUCCACUGGGAGGUGGAGUUUCAGUUGAACCUUCCUAUUGGUCCACAGUGUGAUCUUCCUGCAUGUUUGUUGCUAGGUUCCACUGAGAGAGCCCCUGCCGCGUUCUUCCAGUAAUUCUGCUUCUCUCGCUACAGUUUUAAGUUUCAUGCUCCAGCAACUGAGCUAGUGGGACGCUGGUAUACCACACUUUAAACAGCCAUGUGGUAUCAUCCUUUGUUUAAACGAAGAGUGUCAUUCUCACAAAUAUAGGUAGUUCAGAAAGUACUGAGAUUUAGGGAUAAUGUGAUUUCGUGGUCAACCGAACAAAUUUUCCUUACUAGUCGCCAGAGCGUUCAGUCUGCAUCCACGCCAUUGUUACUGUUUUUUCUCAUGAUCAGAUUUGAAAUGUCCAAGCGAUCCUGCUUAUAAAACUGUCUUGUUCUACUGAGUGGAAUGGGCAGGCCAGUUUCCCAACUCCAGCCACAGGAGGGCGCACAGAGACAUUAACAAAUGAGGGUUGGCAUUACAUUUUGGGGUGUCCUGAGUUAAAUAAAAGAGCUUGGGCACUGUUCUACUGUCAUU